UGCUGGGCUGCCGCCAUCCCUAUUGUUUAAGCUCUAUCUCUCUCUAAGAAUCGAAAACCUUGGCGGAAAAAAGAGGAAAAUGGGAACGAGAUCGAAUUUCUACAAGAAUCCUUCCCUCUCUUACAAGAAAGAUUUAAGUCUCUCAUCUGCUCUCCAAAACCUAAAAGCUUAUAAUAUCGCCACCGGCAAUGCUCCUCCUCUGGUCGAAGAAAAAUCUCAAGUCGACGAUAAAAGCGCGUGCAGGAAACGCUCGAGAGAGCGUGAGCCAUUGUCACAGCUGCCUCAUCGUAGCCGUGAAAUUGAAGACAAUGAUGGACCUAUGUCUCAUCAUGAUUACAUUCUAAAAAGAAGGAGAGAAGUUAGUUCAUCUCAGGGUUACGACGAACUGAGUGCCGAUAUUUUGCAAGCUUCGAAUUCGAGUGUAAAUUUGGUAGACUAUGAAAGUGAUGGAAGUGCUUCUUCCAACGAUAAAGAAACUCAGGAUCCUCCAGAUUCUGGCGAUGCAAAUGAAGUAGAUCGGGUUAAGAGCAGAAGUGAGCAACGAUUUCCUCUUCCAGGUGAACCUGUAUGUGUAGUUUGUGGUAGAUAUGGAGAAUAUAUAUGUGAUAAGACUGAUGAUGACAUUUGCAGCAUGGAGUGCAAAUCUGCUCUUCUGCAAAGCCUUCAAAUAACUGAGAAAUCUAUGAGCAAUCGGAAUCCAUCUCACUCGUCAUCUGAUCUUACAUCUAUUUCUCAUUUGCCUGAGCUUGCGGAGGACACUUGGGAUUACAACAACCAUCGCUGGUCCCAAAGGGGAUCUAGUCUUUGUAGUUACAAAUGUUGGAAAUGCAAGAGGCCUGGACACCUUGCUGAUGAUUGCUUGGUCACCACACCCGAGCAGGCGGUGUCGAAGCAGAGCAAGCCUGUAGCGAGAGAUCUUCUUGAACUGUACAGAAGAUGCCAUCGCAUAGGUGAAAACUUAUCUCAUGCAAGCUGUAAUGCAUGCCGUGGCUCAAUUGGCCUAGCAACAUGCCUUGAUUGCAGCACUGUUGUCUGUGACAAUGAAGGUCAUUUGAAUGAACAUAUCCAUACCCAUCCAUCCCAUAAACAGUACUACUCACAUAAACUCAAGCGACUGGUGAAAUGCUGUAAGUCAACAUGCGAGGUGACUGACAUUAAUGAUCUUUUGAUUUGCCACUACUGCUUCGAUAAAGCAUUUGACAAAUUCUACGAUAUGUAUACGGCAACUUGGAAAGGGGCUGGACUUUCAAUGAUUGGGGGUUCCAUUUGUUGUGAAGAUCACUUUGCUUGGCAUAGGAUGAACUGCUUAAAUGCUGAUAUCGAGGACCGAGCAUAUAUAAUUGGCAGAAAUACAGGGAAAGGGAAACAUGUACAGCUCAGUGACUUCAUUUUCUAACAGUGUUGAGAGUUUCAGUAAUGGCCGGAGAAUUGACUCGUCUUGAUAAACAUCACAUAUCAGUGGAACAAAUGAAAAUGCCUUCAGAUUCUCCGACGCCUCCUUGCACAGACACCUUCUUCAUCGCAAUCUUGCCCGAUUUUGCAUUCACCCAGUUAGUUUUCCAGAGGUUGUUGUUCAUCGAACUUUUCCCCGAUUUCCCUGGUUACAGGUUAGUUUUCCUCCCCAAGUAAAACUCCUCUGCGAUUUGUGAAGAGAAACUUGAGGGGACGAAUCUGCUCUCCCUUGCUAUUCCUACUUAACUGCUUUCGAUCUGUUGUUUUUGUUCUUUGGCAUGCUAAUGAGCUUUAUGAUUGUUUAGUUGUUGUUUGGCAUACUUAAUCUGCUCAAAUUCCAAACAAUGGAGAAUUUGCGUAAUUUUAGUUGUUGUUGCGUCUUGGUCUGUUUAUAUUUUGUUGUUAGUAAUGCUCUGCUCUUUUGGCUAGAUUUUGUUCCAGUUUGCUUAGCUUAGGUGGAAUGGUGUUGGGUUUGAUAGAUAUCUUACAUCUGAUACAUGGAAGAUUGUUGUCUUUUUCCCUUUGUUAUGUAAUCCAAAGACUUUUAAGGCAUGCAAGUAUGUUAAUUGAAGUUGUUUAAGCUAUGUUUAUUAUUUCAUAGGUAGUAGUACAGAACCAUUAGGUUCAUUUUGGUUGCAAUCAAAGUUAAUAAGCUUAACUGCAGACU